AACAAAUGAAGCUGGGACUGAAAAAACAGCUGCAUUAUGCUGCAGCCUCAAAUCCUGAUACAGCUCUAAGCUUUAGGAUUCGAAUGAACCCAACAAGAUUAUGCAAAGGGGCAGUAUAACUCUACACAUUAAUUAGAGCUAUGUGGAAGGACAUAUUUAUUUUGGGAACUUUCACGUCAGCACUGCUGCAGAAUGCUGGGGACAAGAAAAAGGGCAGAAUGUUAACAAACAGGUCCAACUGUCCAUUGACCCUUACCUCUGACAAAGCUGAAUCUUAGUGUUGUCAUGGAUUCUAGAGGUUUAUCUUGUAUGAGUAUCCUUGUCUUCCAAUGGCAUGACAAAGAGAAUAAAGGGGAGGAUGGACAAAGACGAAGAAAGGAUAAAAGAGUAUGACAGGAAAUAUGAUGAGGAAGCAGCUCUUCCUUUUUGAUUCAAAUGCUUUUACUGUUUGUAAGCCAACAUUUUGGUACAUUUGUUUUUAUAAGUCAAUUUCCAUUACACAAUGAUCACUAUAUGUUUUUCCUUCAGCUAUCUCUGGUCUAUGUGUCUUCAUAUAAGAAGAAAAUGUAUGGCCUGAUUAUGCUCUUAUUUGCACUAGUGUAAAUCAGCAGUAACUCCUGGAGACACUGGAGAUAUACUGAUGUCAAGCUGGUGUAAGCUCAAAGAGAAUAGGUUUCUUGCAUUUAGACUGUUAGUACUGCAUAUGCAAGUGUCAUGAAAGUGCAACUAGAGUAGGCAUCAUAACAUAAUCCCUCCGGAUGCUCUACUCACGGAAUUUCUCAAUGAGCUCAGCAGGAGUUCUACAGUAGAGUACAGGUAUGAUUGGACAGGCUCAUGACAUUUACUGUGACAAUGCAUAUAUUGAUGCCAUAGGCAGGUAUAGCUGCAAGAGACUUCCAGUGCCUGCACAUUGACUGGGAUUUUCAAAAGAGCCUAAGGAAGUUAGGUUCCUAACUCACAUUGAAAGUUUAUGGAAACUGGUGCCUGAUUCCCUCAGGUCCUUUAGAAACUGCCAGGCCUGAUGUAUUAAAGCAUUGGUUGUGUUCUUUGUGGGCUUGUAUUUACAUGCUCAUAACUUUUGAACAAAUUCUUCUUUUGGACGUGGUUAUUCUCAAUCCAAUUUCCAGUCCAAACUUUCAUGCUUCUUCUAAGCUGAAUGGUGAAUUUUUGUUGGGAAGUUUACUUAUAAACCACAACUGUUUGUGAAUUGUAUGACAGUGAAAAAUCAGAUUAUUCUUCUGCUGUGAAAAAGAUUUAAAGGUUUAGUUUUUAUGCCUGGUGGGAGGGUACUCAUCCAAAGCAGGAGAAGGAGAGGGAGGAGACUACGUAUUUGAUCCAAAGCCCCGUGAAGUGAAUAGAAAGAUUCCCAUUGAUUUCACUGGCUUUGGAUCAGGCCCUGUGGGAGUGUUUCCCAAAAUGUGAGUCAGGACUCCAAAUGGGGUUGUGCCAUCAGCAGAUGGGGUCAUGGAGAUCCAUAGUCUAUGAAGGAUGUCAUUUUGCUCUGCAUAGCAUGAACUCGCAUGUAUGGUAUGUGUGUGUGUGAGGUCAUGAUGCCAGGAGGAUGGCAUUUUGCUCUACAAAAUGGCAUCCUCCAUGUGGUGUGACAUUGUACAUAUGCUGUGUGCACUGUCAUACUAUGUGUAGGAUGCCAUUUUGCUCUUCAAAAUGGUGUCAUCCAUGCUGUCUGAGAUUCUGGCAGGAAAUACUUCAUUAAAAUGGGCUCAUGCCAGCAAAAGUUUGAGAACCCCUGAUAUAUGGGUAGGGAGGAUGUGGACUGAUGGCAAAGGAGGGAGAGAAGAAACUCAGCUCACAUCGUUCACCUUCAAUGUACUGUGUUCAUCUUAAGGGUUCUAAGGAUUAAAGCAGAUAUGUAACUGCUUAACUGUAAGCCAUAUACCUAGAUCCAGCUGACCUUUGUUAGGUACAAGAACCAGGGUGGCAAGCGAAAGGUCAAAGCCACCUUUCUGGUUUCCUGAUCCUUGGCCUGAAUGGGAGCUGAACUGAUCUGCAGCAUAAUUCAGAGCAGCCUAAGGGCUACUCUAACUUACACUGGCUAGAGCAUCCUUUCAGGACCUCUCCUUUGGCUGGGAAACACCUGCAUACAGUGUAAUAUGGUUCCACCCCUCAAACCUCCUGUGAUGCUUUCACCUACAUACAAAUACUCCUCCUUCCCCCUCCCUUUCCUGACUGAGCAGGGCAGAGAGCAGGUGGCAAAGUCUUACAAGUUUUACAAAGCCCAGGUCUUGCAUAGUUUCCAUCAGGAAAAAUGGCUAUUAAUAGCUGGGAAAAAUAAUUUUCCAUAUU